AAAUGUGAGGAUGAUCUGGCCAUGACAUCUGUCACCUCCUUGGUCGCCAGGGUUGAUGCAGGUGAUUUGAUUGGCUAAGCAGGUGUCCCCUUCCUCCCUCAUCACACUGUGUACAUUCCCCCUGAAGCUGCUUGCUUUCCCCAAAUACAGAAGGACUCAGAAUAUGAGUAUCUGCUCUCCCUGUCUAAAACCUCUAAGCAAGCUCUCAGGACCAAAGGAAUUUCAUUUUACUGUGACCAAUCUGUUUGAAGAUUUGGCUGUCAUCUCUCCUUCCUAU
rfam:Mus musculus chromosome 9, GRC primary reference assembly.